rnacentral:rRNA from 1 species
CCCUUAGAUGUCCUGGGCCGCACGCGCGCUACACUGACAUGUUCAACAAGCCUCCUAGUUCGACAGGAUUUGGGAAAUCUUUGAACGCAUGUUGUGAUAGGGAUAGAUCAUUGCAAUUAUUGAUCUUGAACGAGGAAUUCCUAGUAAACGCGAGUCAUCAGCUCGCAUUGAUUACGUCCCUGCCCUUUGUACACACCGCCCGUCGCACCUACCGAUUGAAUGUUUCGGUGAAGAUUCCGGAUAGGACUUUUUUGAUUUAUUUCAAUUCUGUCUUAAAAGCUAUCUAAACCUCAACAUUUAGAGGAAGGUGAAGUCGUAACA